rnacentral:rRNA from 1 species
UACGUAGGGGGCAAGCGUUGUCCGGAUUUAUUGGGCGUAAAGAGCGUGUAGGCGGCCAGGUAGGUCCGUUGUGAAAACUCGAGGCUUAACCUCGAGACGUCGAUGGAAACCAUCUGGCUAGAGUCCGGAAGAGGAGAGUGGAAUUCCUGGUGUAGCGGUGAAAUGCGCAGAUAUCAGGAGGAACACCGGUGGCGAAGGCGGAUCUCUGGGCCAUUACUGACGCUGAGGAGCGAAAGCGUGGGGAGCGAACAGG